rnacentral:lncRNA from 1 species
GAUGCAUUAAUUUUAUUCAAGAAUAGGGAUGUACACACUCAAAGUAUUCAAGGUUAUUUUUGAGAUUACAAGAAAUCUAAUGAAAGAAGAAGCUCAUAAAAUGGCACAGUAAUUGCUGCCAAAUUCACCCUCGACAUACUUAGAUUAGAAAAGCCAUAUCCUUGGUUCUUACUUGAUUGAACUGCAAAACAAUAGGGAGAUCUUGGCUGAGGCCAAGGCAGUGAAAUUCUUUUCAUGGCCAAUUUAUUUAUCAUGACCUGAAUAGACAAUGCUGAAUCCUAGCCCAAGUCAUCUUCCAGUUUGAAUAUCUGUCUUCUAUGUUAUCUCCCUGAUAAGGAUAAACAUAUUUUUUGCUACACAGGGUCUUAUUUUGGCAAAACCUCCUUAAGGGCCACAUAUGCAGCAUCUUCAUUUAUUGCCACCUGCUACGUUAUAAUCAAGUGAUUCAUCAUUACUAAACUAAAAAAAAUGAUAUGGAACAGAAAAGCAAAUCUCAACAACCCAUAUGAACAUAAUUCCAAAACCUAUCAUGAAAAUAAACCUAGACCAAUUAGUACUGUUUGGUUCGGUUUUGUUUUGUUCGAUUUGGGGUUUUUUCCAUUCAUAUGUAUGAAUCAAAAAUCAUAAUUCCUAAUGAACACCAUCAAUUCAUAAAAUGAAAACAAAAACUAUGCUACCUGGUAUUACAAAUGAAUUAAAUCCAGGCUGAAAAUAUCACAAAUGAAGCAUUUAACCCACACCCAGGCUGGUAAAGUGUACAAGAAAAUGA